rnacentral:rRNA from 1 species
GGAGCCAUGUGGUUUAAUUCGAUGAUACGCGAGGAACCUUACCAGGGCUUAAAUGUAGAUUGACAGGUUUGGAAACAGAUUUUUCUUCGGACAAUUUACAAGGUGCUGCAUGGUUGUCGUCAGCUCGUGCCGUGAGGUGUCAGGUUAAGUCCUAUAACGAGCGCAACCCCUAUUGUUAGUUGCCAGCGAGUCAUGUCGGGAACUCUAGCAAGACUGCCGGUGCAAACCGAGAGGAAGGUGGGGAUGACGUCAAAUCAUCACGGCCCUUACGUCCUGGGCUACACACGUGCUACAAUGGUCAGUACAGAAAGCAGCUACCUGGCGACAGGAUGCGAAUCUCAAAAGCUGAUCACAGUUCGGAUCGGAGUCUGCAACUCGACUCCGNGAANNNNNAUCGC